AUCCUUUUGUAGUUCGUUAAGUGUGAGGACUGGGUUUUCAGGCUCAUGUAUAAGAUGUGCCUCCCUCAUUCCUUGUUACAACAUGGGCACAUUACUCAUCAGAAC